rnacentral:rRNA from 1 species
UCCAGCCUACGGGGGGCAGCAGUGAGGAAUAUUGGUCAAUGGGCGGGAGCCUGAACCAGCCACGUCGCGUGAAGGAAGAAGGUACUUAGUAUUGUAAACUUCUUUUGUCGGGGAACAAAGGCGGAGACGCGUCUCCGGAUGAGUGUACCCGAAGAAAAAGCAUCGGCUAACUCCGUGCCAGCAGCCGCGGUAAUACGGAGGAUGCGAGCGUUAUCCGGAUUUAUUGGGUUUAAAGGGUGCGCAGGCGGGAGGUCAAGUCAGCGGUAAAAUGCGGGGGCUCAACCCCG